rnacentral:rRNA from 1 species
GACAGAGGGGGCAAGCGUUGCUCGGAAUCACUGGGCGUAAAGGGUGCGUAGGCGGGUCUUUAAGUCAGGGGUGAAAUCCUGGAGCUCAACUCCAGAACUGCCUUUGAUACUGAAGAUCUUGAGUUCGGGAGAGGUGAGUGGAACUGCGAGUGUAGAGGUGAAAUUCGUAGAUAUUCGCAAGAACACCAGUGGCGAAGGCGGCUCACUGGCCCGAUACUGACGCUGAGGCACGAAAGCGUGGGGAGCAAACAGGG